rnacentral:rRNA from 1 species
GGGCGAAAGCCUGAUCCAGCCAUGCCGCGUGUGUGAAGAAGGUCUUCGGAUUGUAAAGCACUUUAAGUUGGGAGGAAGGGCAUUAACCUAAUACGUUAGUGUUUUGACGUUACCGACAGAAUAAGCACCGGCUAACUUCGUGCCAGCAGCCGCGGUAAUAA